rnacentral:snRNA from 1 species
GGGCUCAGUUCGUCAGCACAUACGAUAAAACUGGAACAAUACGGAGAAGAUUAGCCUGGCCCCUGUCCGAGGAUGACCAAAGUGUCUUUAGUCCAUUCAAGCAGGU